rnacentral:rRNA from 1 species
ACGGAGGGUGCAAGCGUUAAUCGGAAUCACUGGGCGUAAAGCGCGCGUAGGCCGCUUUUUAAGUCGGGCGUGAAAGCCCUCGGCUCAACCGAGGAAUUGCGUUCGAAACUGGGAAGCUUGAGUCCUGGAGAGGGUGGCGGAAUUCCGGGUGUAGGAGUGAAAUCCGUAGAUAUCCGGAGGAACACCGGUGGCGAAGGCGGCCACCUGGACAGGUACUGACGCUGAGGCGCGAAAGCGUGGGGAGCAAACAG